rnacentral:rRNA from 1 species
AGUCGUGCGAGAAGGAGGCUUCGGUCUCUGAGUAGAGCGGCGCACGGGUGAGUAACGCGUGGAUGAUCUACCCUUGAGUUCGGGAUAACGGUGCGAAAGCGCCGCUAAUACCGUAUAACAAUCCAUUUCAUCGUGGGUUCAAAGCAGGCCUCUUCAUGAAAGCUUGCGCUUGGGGAUGAGUCCGCGUCCCAUUAGCUUGUUGGCGGGGUAACGGCCCACCAAGGCAACGAUGGGUAGCUGGUCUGAGAGGAUGAUCAGCCACACUGGAACUGAAACACGGUCCAGACUCCUACGGGAGGCAGCAGUGGGGAAUAUUGCGCAAUGGGGGAAACCCUGACGCAGCGACGUCGUGUGAGGGAAGAAGGCCUUCGGGUCGUAAACCUCUGUCAGAAGGGAAGAACAUCCGGGAGUCGAACAGCCUCCCGGCCUGACGGUACCUUCAGAGGAAGCGCCGGCUAACUCCGUGCCAGCAGCCGCGGUAAUACGGAGGGCGCAAGCGUUAAUCGGAAUCACUGGGCGUAAAGCGUGCGUAGGCUGCUUGAUAAGUCAGACGUGAAAUCCCUCGGCUCAACCGGGGAACUGCGUUUGAUACUGUCGAGCUAGAGUCCUGGAGAGGGUGGCGGAAUUCCUGGUGUAGGAGUGAAAUCCGUAGAUAUCAGGAGGAACACCGGUGGCGAAGGCGGCCACCUGGACAGGUACUGACGCUGAGGUACGAAAGCGUGGGGAGCAAACAGGAUUAGAUACCCUGGUAGUCCACGCGGUAAACGAUGGAUGCUAGGUGUCGGGGAGCGAUCUUCGGCGCCGCAGCUAACGCAUUAAGCAUCCCGC